ACUAUCACCAUGAUAAUAACUUAUGACACUUUGCAUAACAUUUUAUAUAGUAUUCUCAUAGUGGGUCAAUCCAGUAUAAAUAUUACUCUUAAUAUUCAUACCUAUGUUUAAGACUUGAUAACUCCUUAUCCAUGAUUCAUGAGAUGUGAUCAUCAUUCUAUAUACAUAAUAGUGUUAAUGCUUUAAUAUUAUCCCACUUUACAACAAAG
rnacentral:lncRNA from 1 species